CCCUUAGAUGUUCUGGGCCGCACGCGCGCUACACUGAAAGAGGCAACGUGUUUGCCUGAUUCGAAAGAAUUGGGUAACCCCCUAAUCUCUUUCGUGCUGGGGAUUGAGGUUUGCAAUUAUCCUUCAUGAACGAGGAAUUCCCAGUAAGUGCGAGUCAUUAUCUCGCGCUGACUACGUCCCUGCCCUUUGUACACACCGCCCGUCGCUACUACCGAUUGAAUGAUUUAGUGAGGACUUCGGACUGAGUCCAAUGCGGCUUUCGGGCUGCGUUGGUAUUUCGGAAAGAUGUCCAAACUGUAUCAUUUAGAGGAAGUAAAAGUCGUAACA
rnacentral:rRNA from 1 species